GCCAGGUGUGGUGGCGCACACCUGUGGUCCCAGCUACUCAGGAGGCUGAGAUGGGAGGAUCACCUGAGCCCAGGAGGUUGAGGCUGCAGUGAGCCAUGAUCAUGCCACUGCACUCCAGCCUGGGCAACAGAGUGAGACCUUGUCUCGA
rfam:Homo sapiens chromosome 5, GRCh38 reference primary assembly.